GGCACCUGUAAUUUCACUCUCCCUUUGCAUCAGCAGAAGGAAGAUAACUAGAAAAACCCCACCAAGACGGGUUUCUGCGAGUUGACGUGAACAUGUUUACAGCAGAAUGUCCCGUCUGCCAGCCUCAAGGUGAGGUGUGCAGCAUCAGAUCCUUCACCUCUAGCUGCAAGCAUGCAGCAUGAUCCGAGUGUUUCUCCCUGCUGGGUGCUGAGGGUAGCUGCAUCAAGCGAAAAAGAGAAAAUGCAUAUAAGCCAGUUGCUGAUAGCACUGCUAUCUAACACUUUUUUCCUCCUCUUUUUGCAAACUGCCUUUCUCAACCGGGCAAACCGUGCUCCUUUGGGGAACCUUAAAGACCACUUGGCACUGCCAGCCGGACCCUGCAGGUGCCCCAGGCGAGCACCAGGUGGUGGUGGGAUGGCUGAUGGGGGACUUGUCCAGGAUUAGGGCCUGUGACCAUGGCCCUGUUGUUGAAUCCCGCUGGUGAUAAAAGCGAUGAAAUGAACCGUGCUUGGCUCAAGGGGCAAAUGUAUUUUCAGAAAGUCACCUCCUGAUUUGUGAGAAACACCUGCCAAUUAGUAGGCUUAAAAAUAUCACCGGAGUUAUGUAAGAUCUUUAAAAAUUCUUCUGCUUCUUGACUCUGCAGCACUUCACCUUUCACUAGAAGUAAUCAACCUUCAGUGUACUUUAAAAUAAACUCAAAACCAAGCAGCCCCAAGGUAACAGGAGAAAGAAAUCCCUGACUGCUCCCUUCUGUGUACAAGCGGAUGUGGCGCUCAGGGGCAUGGUUUAGCGGCGGAUGUGGUAGCGCCAGGCUGAUGGUGGGACUUGGUGACCACAAGGGUCUUUUCCAACCUCAGUGAUUCCACGAUUCUGUGGCUCUAUGCAAAGCUGUCCAUGCGGCACGCAGCCUGAUCCUGCGCUAGUGAACUCGGCAGAGCGGUGGUCCCUGGCCGAGCACACCUAAGACGUCGUGCUGUCAUGACCGGCCCCACCAUCCUUCUCUGCUGAUGUUACGCAAUGUAUGUGACACUAUUUAGAGCUUACUGGCACGAGGAUGGCAAGAGUUGAAUUAAUUCCAGGCAUUCUGCUCUUCUAAAAUGUUGGUGGGAAGACUGCAUGAAGAUGGCUCUUCUGGAGCAAGUUCUGGCAGCUGUCUUCCUCUGCAGCAGCUGCAGUUUUGAGGGUCAGAGAAAAAUUGUUUCAGGUAACGUGGGUCCCUAUUAGGAGUUACAUAUACAUACAAGCUCCAGAUAGAGAGUAAGGGUCAGGCAAACGUGUUGCUUAUUGUGCUUGUGCCAUAACACGCAUUUUAAUACAACGAGGCUCAGGCAAUAUAAAUAUCAACUCCUUCACAGUUACUGUUUAAUAUGUGGUGUGUUGGAAGCAGCAGAGUUUUCCGGCUUAAAUUUAGAGAAGAGACUGAAUGUAGUACAUGGUAUUUUCUUCUUCAGGAAGAAAUUCAGGGCACUGAAGUUAAUAAGAAUUUUUCUCCUGACUUCUGUGAGAUUGGGAUCGGUUUUAAGGUUAGAGUUUCCACAUUACCAGGAAACUAAGACGUCCCUUUCUCAUUCUUCACCCUCCUACCUGGAGGUUUUGGGGACCUGCAGUGCAGGAGGACCUGUGGCUGUGCUGCAGUUACUCCAGGGAAGAACCAGUGGCUACCAACUGCUUGCUCUUUCUGGAGCCUUGCUACUGAAGUAUAGGCAAAUAUAUUUAGGCUGAUUACUUCAUUCUCUCAUCAGAAAGAUAUGCGAGUAAGAAUUGUUUUAUAUCUUGUAAAAACAGCACUGCGCUUGUACAUGCAUGCGUAGAACUGUUAGAGAUUUUACAAGAUACAUGGGAAUGUGCGCCUGCUUAUCGGAGGAGAGGAGCGAGCCCGACAUUAAAAAAAAACCCACCCUCUAGCUGAGACCUUGCCUGCCAAGUUUCAGCUGCGUAUGCUCUGAAGCACAUACUCCCACGUCCCGCACUGAGAGGUGAAUGCACUCUUUAAUUUAGAGUGAAGAUUUAGGAUCAAAUUCUGCUUUCAUUUACAUCAUUAAAAUCCUAAUGAGGCUGUAAAUCAGGAUAAGAAUAUGGUUGAGGUCGAUGGGGUUGGAUGGAUUUAAAUGACUGUAGAAUUUGUCCAUGUUAGGUGGAAAUGCAAACCAAAGACUAGCCAAAAAAAAAAAAAAAAAAAGAGCAC